rnacentral:RNase_P_RNA from 1 species
CAAGUGCGCCGGAUGGUCGCGGGCAUAAGGCGAAAGCCUGUGCGUGAGGAAAGUCCGGGCUCCACAGGGCAAGGAUAACGGGUAACGCCCGCCAGGGGUGACCCUCGGACAAGUGCAACAGAAAUAAACCGCCGCGAUAAUCCAGACUCCAUACACAGCGUAUGCUGUGUAUGGAAGAGGAGCUUUCACGGAAUGAACGAGUUUUGCCGUUUGCGGCAAAGGGAGGGAAUGAAGUGCAAAGCGACGAGGUAAGGGUGGAAAGGUGCGGUAAGAGCGCACCCGGUCCCAUGGUAACAUGGGGGCGCUGUAAACUCUAUCCGGAGCAACACCGUGGGAGAACGCAUGGCCGGCCCGGCCGUUCUCAGGAGGUGGCUGGAGCGCGUCAGCAAUGGCGCGCGUAGAUUGAUGACCGUCUAAGACAGAACCCGGCUUACAGACGCACUUUGCUU